rnacentral:rRNA from 1 species
AACACGUGAAAUUCUGUCUGAACAUGGGGGGACCACCCUCCAAGCCUAAGUACUCCUUACCGACCGAUAGUGAACUAGUACCGUGAGGGAAAGAUGAAAAGCACCCCGACGAGGGGAGUGAAACAGACCCUGAAACCGGAUGCCUACAAGCUGAGGGAGCUCUUCGGAGUGACCUCGUACCUUUUGUAUAAUGGGUCAACGACUUAGUGUUGCAUGCAAGCUUAAGCCGAUAGGUGUAGGCGUAGCGAAAGCGAGUCUGAAUAGGGCGAUUGAGUAUGUGGCAUUAGACCCGAAGGCAAGUGAUCUAGAUAUGGGCAGGGUGAAGGUGCAGUAACAUGCACUGGGGGGACCCAACCC